CACAGCCAAAAUAUUACUAAAAAAAAUAAACCAUCUUCUAUACGAACACAUUCUUAUGAACCAAGAUAAUUUUCUUCUUCAUCUCUCUAAUCCAUCUGUUAUCUAACAUAAAUCAACAGAUCUCCAUUCCAUCUACUCCAUCUGAUGAUUCUUGUUCUGCUUUGAUAUUAUCCAGAUCCGUAAAUUUCUCAGAUAGAAAAAGAUUUGUGCUGAUAGUGGAAGAUGCUUCUUACACAGGUUGGUGAAAAGGUUGAGCGCGCUGUUGCAAAAGAUGGGCCCUGCCAGCUUGGUCGAAGGCAUGAAAGAAAAAACAUUCUGUGGCAAAUUUCUAUCUGUGGUUGGUCUGAUACACUUGUUUUUUUUACCUAUUAUGAAAGCAUUAUAAAGAUCUACCGGAGCGAAGCUCUCCUUUCUGUUGGAUGGGUUUUUUUGGUCUGUGGUAGCUUGGUUGAGCAGGAACAUCAUAGAUUAACAUCCAAUGGAACCAUGCUUCAUCUUUCAAGCGUGAAGAAACACGACACCUAUGAUGCUCCUAUCAAACUUAAAAGGAAAAUAUAAUUUUCCAUGCUGGUUUUCGCCAGUUCGUUGCUAGGAACCAGGUCUGAGGGAGCUCAAUUUAGGGAAGGAGUUCUUUUAUUGAAGACUCGUGGACAGGGUUUGAAGCCAAGGCUUCUUUACAAACAAAAAAGAAGCUUCAAUUGAUUGGAAUUUUUGCCUCACCUUGGCCACAAGCUAUAGAAGAAAAUCAGAUGUAUAAUUGGUAACUAUUAUUCACCUUUGGCAUGGAUUACUCGUUCUUACAUCAUCUGCAAUUUAUAUGUUUCUAUAUACAAAGAAUAUGUGCAGUAUAAGGCAAAAGAUAUUCCAUAUUGGGAGCGAUGUGUAUAACAAAUGUGAAGUUGUUGCCAUCGAGUGGUUCCAUCUGAAAGCAGCAUAUGAGGGGGACGACGAGAUGGAGGACAGCCAAGUAUGAGGGGGACGAAGAGAUGGAGGACAGAGACAAGUAUCUUGCAGUCAGUUUUUGGUGGACCUUGACAUGCUGUGCUAGUGGCCAUCAACUGUUGCUACCGGUUAGGUCAUUCUUUCACCGUUGGCAUUCAAUCAGGAUUUGUGUGGGCAUAUUUCGUUAUUUUGCUAGUUCGAACUUGCCUUCAAGAAACCUUGAACUUUAGGACUUGUAGCACUUCUCUUUACUAAACCUUGAACUUAUUAAUUAGGACUUAUUGGUGUGAAUUCAGGAAUUGAAUCCUUUGCUGUAUGAUUUUGAACUAAAUUUAUGAAUACAAUUUAAUGUAAUGGAUGUGAUUUUGUAUGAUGAA